GACGAACGCUGGCGGCGUGCCUAACACAUGCAAGUCGAACGGAAAGGUCCUGCUUUUGUGGGGUGCUCGAGUGGCGAACGGGUGAGUAACACGUGAGUAACCUGCCCCUGACUUUGGGAUAACUUCAGGAAACUGGGGCUAAUACCGGAUAGGAGCUCCUGCUGCAUGGUGGGGGUUGGAAAGUUUCGGCGGUUGGGGAUGGACUCGCGGCUUAUCAGCUUGUUGGUGGGGUAGUGGCUUACCAAGGUUUUGACGGGUAGCCGGCCUGGGAGGGUGACCGGCCACAUUGGGACUGAGAUACGGCCCAGACUCCUACGGGAGGCAGCAGUGGGGAAUAUUACACAGUGGGCGGGAGCCAGAUGCAGCAACGCCGCGUGCGGGAUGACGGCCUUCGGGUUGUAAACCGAUUUCGCCUGUGACGAAGCGUGAGUGACGGUAAUGGGUAAAGAAGCACCGGCUAACUACGUG
rnacentral:rRNA from 1 species